rnacentral:rRNA from 1 species
UACGAAGGGGGCUAGCGUUGUUCGGAUUUACUGGGCGUAAAGCGCACGUAGGCGGAUCUUUAAGUCAGGGGUGAAAUCCCGAGGCUCAACCUCGGAACUGCCUUUGAUACUGGGGAUCUCGAGUCCGGGAGAGGUGAGUGGAACUGCGAGUGUAGAGGUGAAAUUCGUAGAUAUUCGCAGGAACACCAGUGGCGAAGGCGGCUCACUGGCCCGGUACUGACGCUGAGGUGCGAAAGCGUGGGGAGCAAACAGG